CCAGUUGAUCCUGCUGGAGGUCACUGCUUUUUGGUUGGGAUUAAGACAUGCAAGUCUUAGGGAUUGGUCUGUCAGUCCCUGGCGAACGGCUCAGUAACACGUAGACAAUCUGCCCUUAGGAGAGGGAUAAUCUCUGGAAACGGAGGGUAAUACCACAUAGAAAACAGGCACUGGAAUGUCCUGUUUUCCAAAGGAUAUGUGCGGCAUGAUCAAACAUAUCGCCUAAGGGUGAGUCUGCGGCCUAUCAGGCAGUUGGUGGGGUAGUGGCCCACCAAACCUAAGACAGGUACGGGCCAUGAAAGUGGUUGCCCGGAGAGGGGCACUGAGACAAGGGCCCCAGCCCUACGGGGUGCAGCAGUUACGAAACUUCCACAAUGCGCGAAAGCGUGAUGGAGCCAACCAAAGUGCCAUACUUUUAGUAUGGCUUUUGAGGAGUGCAAAAAGCUCCUCGAAUAAGGGGUGGGCAAGACCGGUGCCAGCAGCCGCGGUAAUACCGGCGCCCCAAGUGGUGACCAUAUUUAUUGGGCCUAAAGCGUCUGUAGCCGGAUCAAAAAGUCCUUGGUGAAAUCCUGGCUCUUAAAGUCAGGGCGUGCUAGGGAUACUACUGGUCUAGGGACCGGGAAGGGUAGAAGGUAUUCCAUGGGUAGGGGUAAAAUCCUUUAAUCCAUGGAGGACCACCGGUGGCGAAGGCGUUCUACUGGAACGGGUCCGACGGUGAGAGACGAAAGCGUGGGUAGCAAAUCGGAUUAGAUACCCGAGUAGUCCAUGCUGUAAACGCUGCCCGCUAGGUGUUGCAUGUUCCACGUGAGCAUGCAGUGCCGAAGUGAAGACAUUAAGCGGGCCGCCUGGGGAGUACGGUCGCAAGGCUGAAACUUAAAGGAAUUGGCGGGGGAGCACAACAAGGGGUGAAGCUUGCGGUUUAAUUGGAUUCGACCCCGGGAACCUCACCAGGAGCGACAGCAGAAUGACGGCCAGUCUGAAGGGCUUGCCUAACACGCUGAGCGGAGGUGCAUGGCCAUCAUCAGCUAGUGCCGUGAGGUGUCCUGUUAAGUCAGGCAACUAGCGAGACCCUCCUCUUCUAUUGCUACUGUUUCCUCCGGGAAGCAGGCACUUUGGAGAGACUGCCUUUGUAAAAAGGAGGAAGGUGAGGGCGACGAUAGGUCAGUAUGCCCCUAAUCCCCUGGGCUACACGCGAGCUGCAAUGGUAGAGACAAAUGGACGCAACCCCGUAAGGGGAAGCAAAUCCCCUAAACUCUAUCUCAGUAUGGAUCGAGGGCUGCAACCCGCCCUCGUGAAAUUGGAAUCCCUAGUAACCGUGGAUCAAAAAUCCACGGUGAAUGAGUCCCUGCUCCUUGCACACACCGCCCGUCAAGCCACCCGAGUUGGGUUUGGAUGAGGCUUUAUCCAUAGGGUAGAUUCGAAUCUGGGCUCAGCGAGGUGGGUUAAGUCGUCACAAGGUA
rnacentral:rRNA from 1 species